rnacentral:rRNA from 1 species
GAUGAACGCUGGCGGCGUGCCUAAUACAUGCAAGUCGAGCGAACGGACGAGAAGCUUGCUCCUCUGAUGUUAGCGGCGGACGGGUGAGUAACACGUGGAUAACCUACCUAUAAGACUGGGAUAACUUCGGGAAACCGGAGCUAAUACCGGAUAAUAUUUUGAACCGCAUGGUUCAAUAGGGAAAGACGGUCUUUCUGUCUCUUAUAGAUGGCUCCGUGUCGGUUUGGCUAGUUGGUAAGGUAACGGCCUACCAAGGCAACGAUGCGUACCCGACCGGAGAGGGGGAUCGGCGGCCCGGGAACUGGGACGCGGUCACGACGCCUAAGGGAGGCAGCAGUAGGGAAUGUUCCGCAGUGGGCGAGAGCCUGACGGAGCAACGCGGAGUGAGUGGUGGAGGCCUUCGGUUCGUAAAACUCUGUUAUUAGGGAAGAACAUAUGUGUAAGUGGCUGUGGAGAUCGUGACGGUACCUGAACAGAAAGCCACGGCUAACUACGUG